GACGAACGCUGGCGGCGCGCUUAACACAUGCAAGUCGAGCGAAGCGGCGGACGGGUGAGUAACACGUGAGUAACCUGCCUUUUACCCAGGGAUAGCCUCGGGAAACCGGGAUUAAAACCUGAUGGUAAAAGAUGGACUCGCGUCCCAUUAGCUAGUUGGUGAGGUAACGGCCCACCAAGGCAACGAUGGGUAGCCGGCCUGAGAGGGUGGACGGACACAUUGGAGCUGAGCAGCAGUCCAAAAUAUACGGGAGGCAGCAGGGGGGAAUAUUGCACAAUGGGGGAAACCCUGAUGGAGCGAGGCUGGGUGAGCGAAGAAGGCCUUCGGGUCGUAAAGCACUUUUAUAUGGGAAGCGGUACCAGAAGAAAAAGCCCCGGCUAACUACGUGCCAGCAGCCGCGGUAAUAC
rnacentral:rRNA from 1 species